UACGUAGGUGGCAAGCGUUGUCCGGAAUUUAUUGGGCGUAAAGCGCGUGUAGGCGGUCCGGUAAGUCGGCUGUGAAAGUCCAGGGCUCAACCCUGGGAUGCCGGUCGAUACUGCCGGACUAGAGUUCGGAAGAGGCGAGUGGAAUUCCCGGUGUAGCGGUGAAAUGCGCAGAUAUCGGGAGGAACACCAAUGGCGAAGGCAGCUCGCUGGGACGUUACGUGACGCUGAG
rnacentral:rRNA from 1 species